rfam:Candidatus Roizmanbacteria bacterium RIFOXYD1_FTLL_38_12 RIFOXYD1_FTLL_OP11_Roizmanbacteria_38_12, whole genome shotgun sequence.
GAUGGGAGAAAACUAAGUUAAUGGUGGAUGCCCUGGCAGUUUGAACCGAAGAAAGACGUGUGCUUAAGCACGAUAUCAACGAUAAGUCCUUUAGCAGACAUUAUCAAUCGUUGGUUUCUGAAUGGAGCAAUCCGUUUCGAUGUAAAUCGAGAUAUCAAAUACCUUUAUGGUAUUUGAGGGGAACCCGGAGAACCGAAACAUCCAAGUAUCCGGAGGAAAAGACAUCAUAUGAGAUUCCGUCAGUAGCGGCGAGCGAACGCGGAGGAGCCUAAACUUGAGCGCAAGCUUAAGGGUUGCAGGACCACAGUAGGGAUGUAUAUUUUGUAGGAGAACAGCAUGGAAAGGCUGGUCAUAGAGAGUGAGAACCUCGUAUCUGAAACAAAAUAUACCCCGGUGGGUUUCCUAAGUACCACGAGGCACGGCAAACCUUGUGGGAAUCUGGGUCGGUCACGAUCCAAGGCUAAACAUUCAAACUAACCGAUAGUGAACUAGUACCGUGAGGGAAAGGUGAAAAGUCCCCCGAGAGGGGCGUGAAAUAGAACCUGAAACCAUUAACUAUCAAACAGAGAGAGUCCCUCGGCGCAAGCCUCGGGAUGAUCUCGUGCCUAUUGAAGAAUGAGUCAGCGAGUUAUCGAUAUCUGCUUAGUGCUUAACCAAGCUUAGCUUGGGAAGGCAGAGCGAAAGCGAGUCCUAAUAGGGCGAUCAAGCGUAGAUAUCGGUUAACCCGAAACUGGGUGAGCUAACCAUGAGCAGGGUGAAGUUUGCCGAAAGGCAGAUGGAGGCCCGAACUCGUCGUCGGUGAAAUGGCGUGAGAUGACUUGUGGUUAGGGGUAAUAUGCCAAUCGAACCCAGAGAUAGCUGGUUCUCCCCGAGAUAUAUUUAGGUAUAGCCUAUUCAACUACCUUGUGAGGUAAAGCGACUGGAUAGUCCCCGGAGCCUUUGGCUUUGUGGAUUAACCAAACUCUGAAUGCGCAAGGCUUAUUGAGUAGAGUCAGUCCCGCUCGGAUAAGCGAGUGUGGGCGAGAGGGAAACAUCCCAGAUUCCCGAUUAAGGCUCCUAAAUGACUUUUAAGUGGGAAAGGUCGUUUGUUUUCCAACACAGCAGGAAGGUUGGCUCAGAAGCAGCCACCCUUUAAAGAGUGCGUAACAGCUCACCUGAAUAGUCCCCCGAUUCGGGGGAUGGAAGACAUGCGCCUAAAAUGAUUCGGAGCUCAAAAAGUCUGCCGAAAUCGGAAAUUCUUUACCGAGGAACCUGGUCGGACAAGUUGGACCCUUUUGUGGUUUUGGCUUGCCGUCCGUGUUCCUUGGUAAAGAGUGGUAGGGGAGCAUUCUUGUUGCAGUGAAGCUAUGGUGUAAACCGUGGUGGAGCGGCAAGAAGUGAGAAUGCUGACAUAAGUAGUGAUUUCUCCCGAUGAAAAUUCGGGAUGCCGAAUACUCAAGGUUUCCUCAGCAACGUCAAUCGACUGAGGGUUAGUCGGAUCUAAGCGUCCGCCGCAACAGGCGGAGGCGAUGUACAUGCUGUUAAUAUUCAGCUACUGUAUGUAAAACGUUAUUACUUGAUUUGUGACGAAGUGUGAUAAUUCAGGCCUCCUAUAUGGGGGUUUAAACUGCAAGGUCUCACCGCAAGGUGGGAGCAAACAGUGAUGUCGAGUUUGCCGCAAGGUGGACAAGCUGAUUGGUUUAUGCUUCCGGGAAAAACUUUUCAAGGAGUUUUACGUAUAUCCGUACCGACAUCCAACGCAGGUGAGUUGGUGGAGAACACCACGGCAUUCGAGUAAGGACGAUUCAAGGAACUCUGCAUAAAAAACUGAGCGUAAGCUUUGCAAGAUGCUCUGGCCAACGCAAGUUGGCUUUCAACAAAAGUUUAUCAGGCAACUGUUUAACUAAAACACAGGUUCCUGCUAACCCCAAAAGGGGAUGUAUAGGAGCUGAUGCCUGUCCAGUACUGGUAAGUUAAUCAUUGGGACUGAUGUAAAGCGAGCAAUCUCUUUACCUAGGUUCUGGUGCAAGCUCCAGUGAACGACAGCUCUAACCCUGAGAGUUCUAAGGUAGCGUAACCCCUUGUCGGGUAAGUUCCGACCCGCAUGAAAGGUAUAAUGACUUGAUAACUGUCUUGAAUCGUUGCUCGACGAAGUUGAAAUGGCUGUGAAGAUGCGGCCUAUCUGCACCUGGACAAAAAGACCCCGAGAGCUUUACUGAAACUAGACAUUGGGGAGAUGAAAGUAACUGUUGAGCGUAGGAGGGAGGGCUUGCCCGUCAAUGAAACACCUCUCUUUGCUUUUAUCUCACCUUAUCUUUCCCUUUUGGGAAGGAGACAGUGUUUGGCGGUCAGUUUAACUGGGGCGGUUUCCUCCAAAAAGGUAACGGAGGAGCGCAAAGGUAAGCUUAUUCCGGAUGGAAAUCGGAAUGUAAGUGUAUACGCAUAAGCUGGCUUGACUGUGAGGAUGACUAUCCGAACAGAUGCGAAAGCAGGCGUAAGUGAUCCCCCAUCCCGAAGUGAUUUCGGGAGGGGCUUAACGGAUAAAAGCUACCUCGGGGAUAACAGGCUGGUGACGCCCGAGAGUUCAUAUCGACGGCGUCGUUCGGCACCUCGAUGUCGGCUCACCGCAUCCUGGAGCUGUAGUCGGUUCCAAGGGUUGGGCUGUUCGCCCAUUAAAGCGGUACGCGAGCUGGGUUCAGAACGUCGUGAGACAGUUCGGACUCUAUCCGGUGCAGACGAUUGGAUUUUUGAGGGGAGUCUUCCACAGUACGAGAGGACCUGGAAGAGGAGAUCCCUGGUGUACCAGUUGUCCCAAAAGGGCACCGCUGGGUAGCUACAUCUCCCUUUGAUAAGCACUGAAUGCAUAUCAAGUGCGAAACAAACCCCAAGAUUAGAAAUCCGUAUAGAUUACCAGAAGAAUACUGGUUUGAUAGGCGCUCGAUGUAAGUCCUGUAAGGGAUUUAGUCAAGGCGUACUAAAAUCAAUCUCCCAUCUC